rnacentral:rRNA from 1 species
AUGGCAAAAGCAGGUCUUGAUGCUGUAAGAUCCAAAAAAAUCGAGAUUAUUCCUCAGCAAUAUGAACAAGACUGGUACAGAUGGCUUGAAAAUAUACGUGAUUGGUGUGUCUCAAGGCAACUCUGGUGGGGCCAUCAUGUACCUGCGUGGUAUCUGACACGUGAAGAUGAUCAAGUGACCGAUCUGGGUCCCAACAAUGAACGUUGGAUAGUUGCAAGAAAUGAAAGUGAUGCGAACCUUGAGGCAAAGCAAAAGUAUCCGGGGAAGAAAUUCCAGUUAAAUCAAGAUCCUGAUGUGUUGGAUACGUGGUUUUCAUCUGGUCUGUAUGUCAACCAGAUACUUGGUUGGCCAGAUGAUACCGCUGAGCAUAGGGCUUUCUACCCUGGCUCAGUAAUCGAAACUGGACUUGAUAUUCUCUUUUUCUGGGUAGCCCGUAUGGUUAUGAUGGGAAUGCAACUAGGUGGCGAUGUGCCGUUUGAAAAGACUUUCUGA